AUCCGGGUUGCGGACAGUGUCUGGUGGGUAGUUUGACUGGGGCGGUCUCCUCCUAAAGAGUAACGGAGGAGCACGAAGGUUGGCUAAUCCUGGUCGGACAUCAGGAGGUUAGUGCAAUGGCAUAAGCCAGCUUGACUGCGAGCGUGACGGCGCGAGCAGGUGCGAAAGCAGGUCAUAGUGAUCCGGUGGUUCUGAAUGGAAGGGCCAUCGCUCAACGGAUAAAAGGUACUCCGGGGAUAACAGGCUGAUACCGCCCAAGAGUUCAUAUCGACGGCGGUGUUUGGCACCUCGAUGUCGGCUCAUCACAUCCUGGGGCUGAAGUAGAUCCCAAGGGUAUGGCUGUUCGCCAUUUAAAGUGGUACGCGAGCUGGGUUUAGAACGUCGUGAGACAGUUCGGUCCCUAUCUGCCGUGGGCGCUGGAGAACUGAGGGGGGCUGCUCCUAGUACGAGAGGACCGGAGUGGACGCAUCACUGGUGUUCGGGUUGUCAUGCCAAUGGCACUGCCCGGUAGCUAAAUGCGGAAGAGAUAAGUGCUGAAAGCAUCUAAGCACGAAACUUGCCCCGAGAUGAGUUCUCCCUGAGACUUUAAGUCUCCUGAAGGAACGUUGAAGACGACGACGUUGAUAGGCCGGGUGUGUAAGCGCAGCGAUGCGUUGAGCUAACCGGUACUAAUGAACCGUGAGGCUUAACCUUACAACGCCGAAG
rnacentral:rRNA from 2 species